rnacentral:rRNA from 1 species
GAUCCUGGCUCAGGAUGGACGCUAGCUACAGGCUUAACACAUGCAAGUCGAGGGGCAGCAUGGUCUUAACUUGCUAAGGCCGAUGGCGACCGGCGCACGGGUGAGUAACACGUAUCCAACCUGCCGUCUACUCUUGGACAGCCUUCUGAAAGGAAGAUUAAUACAAGAUGGCAUCAUGAGUCCACAUGUUCACAUGAUUAAAAGUAUUCCGGUAGACGAUGGGGAUGCG